rnacentral:rRNA from 1 species
GGGGAAAGAAGACCCUGUUGAGCUUGACUCUAGUUCGACUGUGUGAAACGACCUCGGAGAUGUAGAAUAAGUGGGAGCAUUGUCAUCUUUGAAAUACCACUACUCCAAGCGUUGUUUCACUUACUUGAUUAGACCAUAUUUGAUGACGAAUCAUUUUUUGUAUCAUCUCUGGCAUCCGCCGGAGUUGUGGUGUGAAGCACACAGUCAGGUAGGGAGUUUGGCUGGGGCGGCACAUCUGUUAUACG